UCUCGUUGAUGUUAAAGACCAAGUUUCGAGGAGAGGAGGGCGGUCCUGAAAAAAAAAGAGACACCUGAUUCCUUAACAAGUUACAACAAUGAUUGCUGCUGGUGUUGAAAAGAAUAAGAUUGGUGAAUAAUUUGAGUAAGCAUGAUGGGGGGCAAAAGGAGUGAAAGAGAAGAGGAUGAUGAAGCAGAAUACUGGAAACACAGGAAUUCUGAUUGAUAAAAAGCAUAGAAGAAGACAUGUCCGAAGAACCAAUGGGUCACCAGUACACUGAACUGAGAAAACAAUUCGGACUCGGAGACUCGGACAUGUCCGCUGAGAACCAAUGAGCAUAAGUGAACCGAUG